rnacentral:rRNA from 1 species
CCUACGGGUGGCAGCAGUGGGGAAUAUUGCACAAUGGGGGAAACCCUGAUGCAGCGACGCCGCGUGAGUGACGAAGGAUCUCGGUAUGUAAAGCCCUAUCAGCAGGGGAGAAGAUGACAGUACCUGACCAAGAAGCCCCGGCUAACUACGUGCCAGCAGCCGCGGUAUUACGUGGGGGACAAGCGUUAUCCGGAUUUACUGGGUGUAAAGGGAGCGUAGGUGGGGUUGCAAGCCAGAAGUGAAAACCCGGGGCUCAAACCCGCGGAUUGCUUUUGAAACUGUCAGGCUGGAGUGCAGGAGGGGUAGGCGGAAUGCCUGGUGUAGCGGUGAAAUGCGUAGAUAUUAGGAAGAACACCAGUGGCGAAGGCGGAUUACUGGACGAUAACUGACGGUGAGGCGCGAAAGCGUGGGGAGCAAACAGGAUUAGAUACCCCAGUAGUC